GAUGAACGCUGGCGGCGUGCCUAAUGCAUGCAAGUCGAGCGAACGGACGAGAAGCUUGCUUCUCUGAUGUUAGCGGCGGACGGGUGAGUAACACGUGGAUAACCUACCUAUAAGACUGGGAUAACUUCGGGAAACCGGAGCUAAUACCGGAUAAUAUUUUGAACCGCAUGGUUCAAAAGUGAAAGACGGUCCUGCUGUCACUUAUAGAUGGAUCCGCGCUGCAUUAGCUAGUUGUUAAGGUAACGGCUUACCAAGGCAACGAUGCAUAGCCGACCUGAGAGAGUGAUCGGCCACACGGGAGCUGGGACGCGGUCCAGACUCCUACGGGAGGCAGCAGUAGGGAAUCUUCAGCAAUGGGCGAAAGCCUGACGGAGCAACGCCGCGUGAGUGAUAAAGGUCUUCGGAUCGUAAAACUCUGUUAUUAGGGAAAAACAUAUGUGUAAGUAACUGUGCACAUCUUGACGGUACCUAAUCAGAAAGCCACGGCUAACUACGUG
rnacentral:rRNA from 1 species